rnacentral:rRNA from 1 species
UACGUAGGGGGCAAACGUUGUCCGGAUUUACUGGGUGUAAAGGGUGCUCAGGCGGUUUUGUAAGUCAGAAGUGAAAUCCUAGAGCUUAACUCUGGAACUGCUUUUGAUACUGCAAAGCUUGAAUGUGGAAGAGGAUGAUGGAAUUUCUGGUGUAGCAGUGAAAUGCGUAGAUAUCAGAAAGAACACCAGUGGCGAAGGCGGUCAUCUGGUCCACUAUUGACGCUAAAGCACGAAAGCGUGGGGAGCAAACAGG